GACGAACUGUCCAAACGUUGUUCGGAAUCACUGGGCUUAAAGGGCGCGUAGGCGGUCGAAUAAGUCGGGGGUGAAAUCCUGCAGCUCAACUGUAGAAGUGCCUUCGAUACUGUUCGUCUGGAGGGAGAUAGGGGUGUGCGGAACUUCCAGUGGAGCGGUGAAAUGCGUUGAUAUUGGAAGGAACGCCGGAGGCGAAAGCGGCGCACUGGAUCUCUUCUGACGCUGAGGCGCGAAAGCUAGGGGAGCAAACGGGG
rnacentral:rRNA from 1 species